AGAUUGAACGCUGGCGGCAUGCCUUACACAUGCAAGUCGAACGGUAACGCGGGGGCAACCCUGGCGACGAGUGGCGAACGGGUGAGUAAUACAUCGGAACGUACCCAGUAGUGGGGGAUAGCUCGGCGAAAGCCGGAUUAAUACCGCAUACGACCUAUGGGUGAAAGCGGGGGAUCGAAAGACCUCGCGCUAUUGGAGCGGCCGAUGUCGGAUUAGCUAGUUGGUGAGGUAAAGGCUCACCAAGGCUACGAUCCGUAGCUGGUCUGAGAGGACGACCAGCCACACUGGGACUGAGACACGGCCCAGACUCCUACGGGAGGCAGCAGUGGGGAAUUUUCCGCAAUGGACGAAAGUCUGACGGAGCAACGCCGCGUGCAGGAGGAAGGUUUUCGGAUCGUAAACUGCUUUUCUCGGGGACGAGCAAGGGACGGUACCCGAGGAAGAAGCCCCGGCUAACUACGUGCCAGCAGCCGC
rnacentral:rRNA from 1 species